rnacentral:rRNA from 1 species
GAUGAACGCUGGCGGCGUGCCUAAUACAUGCAAGUCGAGCGAAGCGGGGACGGGUGAGUAACACGUGGAUAACCUCCUAUAAGACUGGGAUAAAUUCGGGAAACCCGAGCUAAACCGGCUACUUAUAGAUGGAUCCGCGCUGCAUUAGCUAGUUGUUAAGGUAACGGCUUACAAAGGCAACGAUGCAUAGCCGACCUGAGAGGGUGAUGGGCCACACUGGAAGUGAGACACGGUAGAGACUCCUGCGGGAGGCAGCAGUAGGGAAUCUUCCGCAAUGGGCGAAAGCCUGACGGAGCAAAGCCGCGUGAGUGAUGAAGUUCUUCGGAGCGUAAAACUCUGUUAUUAGGGAAGCGGUACCUAAUCAGAAAGCCACGGCUAACUACGUGCCAGCCGCCGCGGUAAUUC